ensembl:lncRNA
GGGGAUUAUUUUUAGGGGGUCAUUUAAGAAAUUCUGCCUGCCACAGCACUUAUUCAAAAGAUGAAAGGAAGUUCUUUGGGGAUGCGGGGGAGAAGGAAGUGGGAAUAAACUCUCUCUAAGUAAUAUACUAACAGGAGAAGCCAAGCAUUUGCGAUGAGAGUCCUACCCAUUAUAUCUUCUGCCACCUCUAGAGUGGCUACUUUGGUCACAAUGUCCUAUCACAGUGUCUUGAGGUAAAUGGUCAAUAAUAGACAUUUUAAGGAAUGCUUGGGCACUAAAAAACUAUUGCCAUGCUUUAGUUUUUCCUCAUCAAAUGGUGUCAACACCAAGCCCUCCAAGAACUUGUCCUAAGAAUAUACGUUGGAAAGUGCAGCUUUUUAGAUAUGGCUCAACUAAGAGAGAAUUUCACCGCUCAAAACUCGGAGGACCAGGAUAACACCCCAGUACUCCUCUUACAUGUUCUACUUCAGGAUUCAAGGUGGAUAUUCAUCCCUUCACCUCAUUUCUCUUCAGUGAAGGUUAAGACACACAGGAGCCUCUAUGUUCCUGUGUACCAACUUCGGCUAAACACCAGGGUUGUUCCUGAGCUGCUUUUUCAUCCUGGUGACCUAAGAAGAUCUCAAACUAAUAAAUCCAUCCUGAAAGGCGGGCUGGAACAGGGUUUCUCAUCAUUAAUAUUUAGCAUGUAGAUGGUUUUCAAAGAACAUCAUUUUCUAAUUAGGAUGAUACUUUUGCCUGGUACUGAAGAAACACAACUUGGGGAAACUGAAAUCUAAGAAGAGGGGACCAACUAUAUGGGAAAAGAAUAUAAAAAAGAGUGGAUAUAUGUAUAACUGAUUCACUUUACUGUACACCUGAAACUAACACAACAUUGUGAAGCAACUAUACUCCAAUAAAAAUUUAAAAAAAGAAAAAGAGGGAAACCAAGACUCGCUGCCUUCAGCAUCCCUGGGGUUUUUUUCCUCCAGGUGCUUUAUGGCCAGACUUGCCAACCACAAGA